rnacentral:rRNA from 1 species
UACGUAGGGUGCGAGCGUUGUCCGGAAUUAUUGGGCGUAAAGGGCUCGUAGGCGGUUUGUCGCGUCGGGAGUGAAAAUUCAGGGCUUAACUCUGGACUGGCUUCCGAUACGGGCAGACUAGAGGUAUGCAGGGGAGAACGGAAUUCCUGGUGUAGCGGUGAAAUGCGCAGAUAUCAGGAGGAACACCGGUGGCGAAGGCGGUUCUCUGGGCAUUACCUGACGCUGAGGUUCGAAAGCUCGGGGAGCAAACAGG